rnacentral:misc_RNA from 1 species
UCUCCGUUGGUGAACCAGCGGAGGGAUCAUUAGCGAGUUUUAAUACUCCCAAACCCACUGUGAACCUUUGGGAGGGUGCGACGCGUUGCGAAGCGCCCUCUCGUUUCUGUAACCAACUCUGAUGUCUAUUUGAAUGUGCGAAUCGGGGCAGCCCCGAUGUCGAAUUUGAAACAACUUUCAACAACGGAUCUCUUGGCUCUCGCAUCGAUGAAGAACGCAGC